UACGUAGGGUGCAAGCGUUGUCCGGAAUUAUUGGGCGUAAAGAGCUCGUAGGCGGUCUGUCACGUCGGCUGUAGCAAAGUCCCGAACGGCGUCAACCUCGGGUCUGCAGUACGAUACGGGUAACGUAGAGUGAAUUCGCAGGGGAGACUGGAAAUUCCUGGUGUAGCGGUGAAAUGCGCCAGAGUAUCAAGGGAGGGAACACCGGUGGGCGAAGGCGG
rnacentral:rRNA from 1 species